AAAUAACAUUCUUAAAAUACCAGUGUUGUUUACAGUCAUGUGAAAAAGUAUACCCAUUUUAACAUAUUUGGAUGUAUGGUUAUGUACUCUUAAUCACUAUUGAAGAUUGAGGUAACCCAAUUUAACAAUUGAUAAUUAAAAAUGUUAAUUUAAUAUAAAAUCAAUAGAAAUGCAAGUUCAUAUUGCAGGGGAAAAAACAUUACUACACACAGCUUCAAUAACCUGUGUUGCCGCCAUCGGCUGUGAGCGUCUAUCAGUCACUUAUUGGAUUGGGGACUUUUUUUACAGUACUGCUUGAACUGUCAUGUUCAAGAGCUUUUCUUGCAUGUACAGCCCGCUUUAGAUCACCCUCACAGUAUUUUGAUAGCCAUUGUAACUUUUGUUUUUCAUUCUCCUAUUGCAAGAUUCGGGUUUUGGUUCAGCUUUUUGCCAGAUGUUCUCACAUCUCCUCAAGAAUUCUUUGGUACAAAUGGAUCAUCAUGGUUGAUUCAAUGAUGGCAAGUUGGUCAGGCCCUUAGGCAGCAAAGCAGUCCCAAAUCAUACCUCAUCCAUGCUUUACGGGGUUACUUCAGAAAAUCAAAACCUGCGUCCUCAAACUUGCGAACUACAUUCCUCGAUAAUAGGCAUUCUGCUAUCCGGAAUC